rnacentral:rRNA from 1 species
GAUGAACGCUAGCGACAGGCCUAACACAUGCAAGUCGAGGGGCAGCACAUGAGUAGCAAUACGAUGGUGGCGACCGGCACACGGGUGAGUAACACGUCUGCAACCUGCCUUCUACUAUGGGAUAACCCGUUGAAAGACGGACUAAUACCGUAUAAUACAGGGGCUCCGCAUGGAGAUAUUUGUUAAAGAUUUAUUGGUAGAAGAUGGGCAUGCGUAUGAUUAGAUAGUUGGUGAGGUAACGGCUCACCAAGUCAACGAUCAUUAGGGGUUCUGAGAGGAAGGUCCCCCACACUGGUACUGAGACACGGACCAGACUCCUACGGGAGGCAGCAGUGAGGAAUAUUGGUCAAUGGACGAGAGUCUGAACCAGCCAAGUCGCGUGAAGGAAGACGGUUCUAUGAAUUGUAAACUUCUUUUGUGCAGGAAUAAAGUGGGUUACGUGUAACCUUUUGUAUGUACUGUACGAAUAAGGAUCGGCUAACUCCGUGCCAGCAGCCGCCGUAACAC